UCCGGUUUGGCACCGGCAGUCCCCCGAGAGUCCUCAGCAGUUUGCACCCUGUUAGCAACACGGGGCGGGGGUUGCGCUCGUUGCGGGACUUAACCCAACAUCUCACGACACGAGCUGACGACAGCCAUGCAGCACCUGUGCAGGAGCUCCGAAGAGGGGCCAGUGUUUCCACCAGCUUUCCCCUGCAUGUCAAGCCUAGGUAAGGUUCUGCGCGUUGCGUCGAAUUAAACCACAUGCUCCACCGCUUGUGCGGGCCCUCGUCAAUUCAUUUGAGUUUUAACCUUGCGGCCGUACUCCCCAGGCGGUCUACUUAUUGCGUUAGCUGCGCCACUAACCCCUCAAGGAGGCCAACGGCUAGUAGACAUCGUUUACGGCGUGGACUAC
rnacentral:misc_RNA from 1 species